UCUGGCCGUUUUUGAACGACUUCAAUCAAGAAAGCUGCAAAAUGGAUUUUAAAAUUUUUACGUUUUCAGUGUUAGUUGUAGUUUUGUUUGUGUGUAAAUUGGGUGCGACACAAGGCAUACCCUCUCCGAGCAUACCGUCCGGUAUACCUUUUCCGAACAUAUCAUCCGACAUACCUUCUCCGAGCAUACCAUCCGACAUACCUUCUCCGAACAUGCCGUCGAGCAUCCCAGCCGGCAUGCCAUCUUCACCCGGCGAGAUGGCCGAACAAGCUCAAGGAGCUGCAGCUUCGGCCACAGCCGAUGCUGGGAACGCUGUGGAAACGGCUAAAAGCCAAAUACCGCCAGCACCAGGCAAGAAGUGAAAUAAAAAACAAUCGUUGGAGAAGCUGGCCUAUGUCAAGCAAAGAGCACAUUACUGAUUGCACGCAAAAAACAAACGAAUUCCGAAGGAAGAUCCACUUAGAUUCACUGAAGUAGAAAAUUGGAAAAGAAACUCACUCUCUAUUACGGAUUGUACAAUGCCGACAGUACUGUUAUUUGAAAGCAAGGCACCACCCUGAAAAUCCAACUUACUGAAAAUCCAAUUUAUUGCACAGAUAUUCUGAACACUUACAAUUCGUAAAAUAAAGUGCAAUCAUUUGUGGAUUUGAAAUGCA